UACGGAGGGAGCUAGCGUUGUUCGGAAUUACUGGGCGUAAAGCGCGCGUAGGCGGCUUUGUAAGUUAGAGGUGAAAGCCCGGAGCUCAACUCCGGAACUGCCUUUAAAACUGCAUCGCUUGAAUCCAGGAGAGGUGAGUGGAAUUCCGGGUGUAGCGGUGGAAUGCGUAGAGAUCCGGAAGAACACCGGAGGCGAAGGCGGCUUGCUGGGCGUGAUCUGACGCUGAGGCGCGAAAGCGUGGGGAGCGAACAGG
rnacentral:rRNA from 1 species